rnacentral:tmRNA from 1 species
UGGGAGGGUCUUUAGCCUGCCGAAUCGGCGAUUGAACCUCUGAGAAAACAAAGGAUCGGCUGCACUCGGAGAAAUUCUUUCGGAAAUGCUUUCGGACGUGGGUUCGAUUCCCACCACCUUCACCA